UCCUGUCUGGCUCAGUUGAUUAGAGUGUGGCACUAGCAAUGCCAAGGUCAUGGGUUCAAGUCCCAGGGGGGGAA